rnacentral:lncRNA from 1 species
GUGCGCCUCUUUACAGAGCGUGCACGGACAGAAUGCACCUGCUCUACACGCACUGGGCUGGAAGCAUGAUUCAUGUGUUUGAGGUGAACAGAGUGCUGCUGCAUGAACCGCUGCAACCCCAGAGCUUCCCAGAGCUGAGUCAGCGCCUGAAAUCUGUCCAGAAACGACUCCAGGAGGAGUCGAAUUCCAUGAAGCCUCCCUGUUGCUUCGGCCUUGAAGACACGCUGACUGUCCUCCAGACUCUGUGGGCUCAGAUAAUGAUGGGACAACAACAUCUACACGCUCUUCUCUGUCACGUGGUCCAGUCCAGCGAGGAAGCACCUGAGGAGGAGACAUCGGAGCUGGUGGCACAGGCGACCCGGAUGAAGAGGAGCUGGUUUGCCUCUGUGGCUCAGCUGGACCAGCUCAGGUCUGUGAGAGACCAGCUGAGCCGGUGGAGAAUCUACCGUAGCGGUCUGAAACUUAUUGGGGGGCUGCUGGGGGACGUAGACUGUGUGCUGCCCCCUGCUGGAGCUCUGAUGAUUACCACCGAUGAUUAUCAGUGUGUGGAGGACACGUUAGCUGGACACUCUGCCGCGUAUUCCAAGACGCUGGAGGCCGGAAGACAAUUUAUAUGA